rnacentral:rRNA from 1 species
UAGGGAAUCUUCCGCAAUGGGCGAAAGCCUGACGGAGCAACGCCGCGUGAGUGAUGAAGGUCUUCGGAUCGUAAAACUCUGUUAUUAGGGAAGAACAAAUGUGUAAGUAACUAUGCACGUCUUGAUGGUACCUAAUCAGAAAGCCACGGCUAACUACGUGCCAGCAGCCGCGGUAAUACGUAGGUGGCAAGCGUUAUCCGGAAUUAUUGGGCGUAAAGCGCGCGUAGGCGGUUUUUUAAGUCUGAUGUGAAAGCCCACGGCUCAACCGUGGAGGGUCAUUGGAAACUGGAAAACUUGAGUGCAGAAGAGGAAAGUGGAAUUCCAUGUGUAGCAGUGAAAUGCGCAGAGAUAUGGAGGAACACCAGUGGCGAAGGCGACUUUCUGGUCUGUAACUGACGCUGAUGUGCGAAAGCGUGGGGAUCAAACAGG